GACGAACGCUGGCGGCGUGCUUAACACAUGCAAGUCGAACGCUGAAGACCUGGCUUUUGUUGGGUUGGAUGAGUGGCGAACGGGUGCGUAACACGUGAGUAACCUGCCCUCUUCUUUGGGAUAACGCCCGGAAACGGGUGCUAAUACUGGAUAUUCACUGAUCUUCGCAUGGGGGUUGGUGGAAAGGUUUGUUCUGGUGGGGGAUGGGCUCGCGGCCUAUCAGCUUGUUGGUGGGGUGAUGGCCUACCAAGGCUUUGACGGGUAGCCGGCCUGAGAGGGUGACCGGGUACAUUGGGACUGAGAUACGGCCCAGACUCCUACGGGAGGCAGCAGUGGGGAAUAUUGCACAAUGGGCGAAAGCCUGAUGCAGCGACGCCGCGUGAGGGAUGGAGGCCUUCGGGUUGUAAACCUCUUUCGCUCAUGGUCAAGCCGCAACUGUGGGUUGUGGUGAGGGUAGUGGGUAAAGAAGCGCCGGCUAACUACGUG
rnacentral:rRNA from 1 species